GAAAUGGAAAUAGAGAGGUGAUGAAAGAGAGAGAGAGGCGACAAGGAAACGGGGAAAGAAGCGGAGAAAGAAAGAGGCGUUGAAAUAGAGGAUGAGGGCUAGGACACGGAGAAAGAAACAGAGAAAGGCGAUGAACUCUGCAUCGAUUCUACCACGUUUAUGGUUUAAUCCAACCAAAAUCCCGAUCAUUACAACAUUUGAAAGCCCGAUUUACACAUAAAACCCAAAACCUACCCUCUCCCGAUAAACCUUUUCUCCUUCUUUGCCACUUCCUCCGUGUUGAAGCCGUUUUCUCUGCCUCUCUCAAUUCUCAAAACCCCUAAACCAUAGCCCAUCGCCACUCUUUCACUCCUUCAGCAUCCCACCACCAUCAUAUACCGUUUAGAACAACUAUCAAAAGAUGUGCCUAAGAUUCAUUAAAAACAAGCAAAACCAGUCGUUCUACCAUUUUUUUUUACUGUUUGGAAAAAAAAACUCUCAUGCAGGGGAAGAUAGAGAGAGGCCGAAAACCACUACCGAUGAGUUUUUAUCUUCAAUUGAAGUUUGUUUAUUAAUUAUGAUUAGGUUUUGAUAUUUUGUUUGGAUUGGUUUCGAUUUUGGUAUUCAAAUUAAGUUUUUCUCUUCUCUUUUUAGUUUGACAUUUUUUAUCAGGCUUUGAUAUUUGUUUUGGUCUUUAGGUUAUAUUUGGUUCUCAUUAUGGUAUUUGAGUUAUAAGUGGUUCUGUUUUGAUUAUUUGGGUUAAAUUUGUUCAUGUUUAUUUAUCUACAGUUUCUAGGUUAAAACGUAGUUUUUUUUCGAAUAGUUUCUAGACAAAGAUAUAAGUUUUACAAGUCAAGUGGGAAUAAAAAAGUAAAUUGGACCUUUUUCCUUAUCUAUGUCUUAUAAAGAAUAAGAUGAUGAAUUCAAAGAAUAGGUAUGAGUCAGUUGAGUUCAUUUUUCCCCCCAAUUAAUUACGCAUGCUCUCUUUAUUUCAAUCAAUUUGGUUCCUUACCUUUAUAUCUGCAUCUCUAUUCCUUUUACAUUUCAAAAUCAAUUUCUCUAUGCUUGAAAUUUGCAUAUUUUUUUAACAUUAAUUCUUCUAGAAUUAAUAUUUGUCAUUGCUCAUUCUCUACCCUAUUGCCUCCCUUCUAAUUGCCAUAUGCUCUAUGCGUACUUUGCCCCCAUCCUUGCUACUUUGAUCGUUAUUCCUACCCCCAUCCCUUCUCUGCAGUAGUAUAUCUGGAAGGUAAGCACACUCUUUCCCACUUCAACCACUAUUUUCAAUUCCUGUAACUUCCCACUGGUGCUUUUCCUAUUUGAAUUUCUAUAUUUAAACUUUUCUCCUCCUGCUGAAUUGUUUAGGGUUUUCCUUUGAUUCCUAUUGAAGGAUAGAUUGGUUUAUUCUCUUUGUUUGGAUGUUUUGUCUCAAAUUAUCGUAUAUUUAUUUUGGUUUGGGUAACAUUAGGGAUUUUCGCUCUUGGGUAACUUUAGGGAUUUUCACCUUUACUGCUUUCAAAUCUGACACUUUACAAUGUAGGAUAAUUUAUAAAUUUUUCUAAGUGAAAUUAUGGUUUGCUGGAUUAUUUUCUAUGUUUUUGAAUUAGGGAUUUUUGCUCUUGAUUUAAAUAGUUAACUUUCACCUUUGCUGCUUUUAAAUCUAAUAGUUUAUGGUCUCUGUAUUUUGGUUUAGGUAACACUAGGGAUUUUGAUUCCUGAUUUUAAUAGUCAUCUUUCACCUUUGUUGCUUUUAGAUUUCACAGUUUACAAUGUAAGGAUAAUUUAUAAUUUUUUUAGAGUGAAAUUAUGGUUUCUUGGAUUAUUUGCUGUGUUUUUUAAAUAGAAAUAAACUGUUAGUUUUUAGACCCCUUAAAAACACAAUUAGAUUAACCUAGGUAAUUAGCCAAGUGAUUACUUUGUCCAAAUUACAAGUCUAGGUUAUCACAAUCAAACAAUCAUAUCAUGCAUAGCAGCGGAAAGAUAAAUAACACAACGAUAUGAUAACCCAGGAAAACCAAACUGGUAAAAAACCUAGGGAGGAUUUAACCUAUCUAUCCUCAAGGUAAAAGGCAAAUCCACUAGAAAGAAUCUAAGUUCAUACAAUAAGACUUACAAGCCCCCACGCUCGACUUCUUAUUGCUACCAACCAGUAGAACUUACUGACACAACCACAUGCAAGCUCCGAAUCCACGGACUCCUUCUUUCUUGGAUUCACCACCAAAUACAAGCACACCCGCUUGUGUUUUCUUUAAGCUUCAAUGGCAGCAACCGAGUUGAUCAUCAAGGUGUAGAUAAAUCUUUUUCUUGAAAACCCUAAGUUUGUGUAAAGGAAAGCUCCUCUAGAUCUCACAAGAGAUUUACACAAACCGCAAUAUGAGCAACACUAAAACGUGGCUAGGGUUUGUCUUUUAUACUUAGGACAAAUUAGAAAACCCUAAAAUGUUUUAAAACAACUAGGGCUGAGUUAGAAAAUCUGUAGAAAAAAACAUUCUGCCCGAGCUUCAAUCGAUCGAGCCAGGCCGAAAUGCAUAAAACUUUUCUACAUUAGCUCAAUUCCAACUUUACGAAAAUGCACAACUUUGAGCAAGACUAAAACACUUCUAAACACAUUGUUUUGAUCAUGGUUUGCCAACAAUACAUAUUAUAGUUCUAAAUACAUAAAUACCUAAGUCUUUAGAACCUAACAUAAACAAAUAAAUAACCAAGAAUACUGUGUUAUUGAAUAUUAAGGGAUUAUUUCUGAAAUAUGGCUGUAUGGUUUACAUUUUAAUUCGUAGAUUCAGAUUUUGUUGAAUUGUUGCACUACCUUUUAUAUGGAAACACACUUUCACAUAUUUACAAUAUCCAUACCAUUUACAAUAUUUUCUUUAGCUUCUUCUGUUGUCUCUCUAUCAUCUUUCUUUCCUGUAUUGUGACAAAGGUUCUAAUAGAUGGCUUUAGCAAGCUUGGUUUAGAAGGAAAGCUUAUACUUAAUUUUUAUAAGGUGAAGUUGUAACUAACUUAUAUCUUCUGCUUGAGGUACAUGGUGCUUUGUAAGGAGCUAACUUACUAAAAGCAAGACAUUGAAUUUGUAAAGGAGUUUUUAAAGUAAAGUUCAAAACUUAGUUUUUAACUAAGAUCCUUGCAAGAUUUUUCUUUGAGACUGCUCUUGAAAUUCCAAUGUCUCUUUAGUUUCACAAGUUUACAUAAUUUAUGGUAAUUUUUGAUGGAUCAAACCCUUCUUUUGUAGUCUCUCUUUCAUCUUUCUCUCCUGUAAUUUGAAAAACCUUCUGACCCUAUCAUUUUGUUGAAAUAUAGGUUUGCCUAGUUCUUUGCCAAUCACAAAACUUGGGUAAUUUGCAAGAAGAGUUGCUGGAACAAAUUGAUAGGGAUAAGUAAAUUAGGAACAAUGGGCAUUUUGUUCUUUGAAACUUAUUUCUCUACAUCUUGCCAUCCUAUAUCUAUGGUUGGAUGCUUCUUUGCAGAACUAUCAGAUAUUGAUAUGGAGAACCUAAAGGCAAAUGUCUUUCAUUUAUUAGAAAUUGAUAUUUUUAACAUUUAUUAGAUAUCUGAGAUGUUAAGGAUUGGAAUCCUAUUUUAAUUUUAAUUUAAUUUGAUUGAUAUUUUACGUUUACUAAUGUAAUGUUUCCUAUGAAGGAUAGGAAUUCCUAAGAUUGAAAUCCUAAUGUACAAUUAAAGAGAAAGAAGCAAAGAAUUGUUUAAAUCUUCAUACGCAAAGAUAUAGUCUGGAAGGCACAGAGAGACAGGCGGCAUACCCAUUACCGCAUAAUCGAAACAAAGGACGAGCUGUUCCUUCUAGAGCUUAUCAGG